UACAUCUAUAUAUGAUAUCGAGAUUUUCUUAGCACUUCGUGCCCGGAAUGUUAAAUGGAUGAGACUGUGUUUGAUGACGUUGCGUCAUUACGUAACAAUUUAAUCGAGAAUUUCUCGAAGCUUUGUUCAGUAUGAGUAUGUGCAUAUGCAUGUAGGCGAAAUUGAUACUUCUAUUCUAUUAUCGGAAAAGACAAAAGGAAAGGUGAACUUGACGGUCGACAAGAUAGUUUUCGAAAAGACACGAAGGUAUAGUUUCCUGUUUUACCCAUUUCCAUCUGGGUAUCAGAGCUCAUGUGACUUGUACUUUUUUCGAGAUUCAUAGGAUUAUUUACUGUCAAUGAUUUAUUGGCCAUAGUUUCUAUAUUCAUCUUGAUUAGUACUUUGGGAUUUAAAAAUGGAGGCACUUAACUGUCAUUCGAAAUAAACGCCAAUCACAGUCUUCAUUUGUAUUAUAUGUAGUUGUACUGUAGAUGUUUAUUUACAAACACGUGUAUGAUUCAGCAGUGACAGAGCACUUGUCUGUAUAUGUUUACAAGAAGAUGGUUCAUAAAUGACUGAAUCUAAAUAUGAGAUUUUAAAUAUAAUUUUACACAAAGGAUUCAAAAAACUAGUUCCAAUGUCGCACAUUGAAUACUUCUUAAAGAAUUCUUAUGAAAUAUGAUAGGAAAUAGUUACAAAAUGUAAUUUUUCAAUAUAUGUGAAAAAAAUGACAAAAAUUGCGAAAAAAUAUGAAAAAAGGAAUCAUGUAAAAUAUUUAAUUCUGAAUAAAUUCAUCUAAAAAAAUCAACUGAUAAUAAGUUACAAGAGUAAAUAAGUUGUAUUUUCAAUAAAAACAAUAAUAGAGACAAAUUACUCUGAA